GACGAACGCUGGCGGCGUGCCUAAUACAUGCAAGUCGAGCGGACAGAUGGGGGCUUGCUCCCUGAAGUCAGCGGCGGACGGGUGAGUAACACGUGGGCAACCUGCCUGUAAGACUGGGAUAACUUCGGGAAACCGGAGCUAAUACCGGAUACGUUCUUUUCUCGCAUGAGAGAAGAUGGAAAGAUGGUUUCGGAUAUCACUUACAGAUGGGCCCGCGGCGCAUUAGCUAGUUGGUGAGGUAAUGGCUCACCAAGGCGACGAUGCGUAGCCGACCUGAGAGGGUGAUCGGCAACACUGGGACUGAGACACGGCCCAGACUCCGACGGGAGGCAGCAGUAGGGAAUCUUCCGCAAUGGACGAAAGUCUGACGGAGCAACGCCGCGUGAACGAUGAAGGCCUUCGGGUCGUAAAGUUCUGUUGUUAGGGAAGAACAAGUACCAGAGUAACUGCUGGUACCUUGACGGUACCUAACCAGAAAGCCACGGCUAACUACGUGCCAACAGCCGCCGUAAGAC
rnacentral:rRNA from 1 species